ACUAUUUUUUAAAUUUUCCUGUAAAAUUAUUUCUCAGAAACAUCAGAGUAACUUACAAAUGGUUUGUUUUGAGUUAGAACAAAUUACACCUUAGAAACUAAAUGUAUAGUGUAAUGCUGAAGAUUAUAUAGUUAAUAAUUUAGAUAACUAAACACCUAAAAAAAAUUUUAAAUGUGAAGAUGAUUAUUUGUAAAGUGAUUCUAGGUUGGGACUUGCAUGAUCUGUAAUUUUCACAUUUUGAAAAUGAUAUAGUAGAAAAAAUAAAGAAUUUUUAGAGUAAAUUUCAAUUGAAAAAAAAAGUUCCAGAAUUAAUCUGGACAAGGCAAAACUCUAAAAUCUGAAGUAUUUUCAAAUGUUUUCUCAAACUCAAAGAUUUAUAUAACCAAUACUUUUCCUUAAAAAAAUUGGGAGAAACUGAUUCAUUAAAUUUUCAACUAAGUCAGGAAUAAGAAUUUUAAUCUAUCUGGUAAACUUUACACAUGAUUGUUAAAGUAGUAGACAAACAUGAUUCUUUGUAUUGCAGUUAUAUCCUUUAUUUCACUGCUUCACUUGAGUGGAACUUAAAAUAUUCAUUUAUUAUUACUAUUCUGGGGAGAGGGAGAAAUGAGACAUUUAGUGGAAAGAGUCUUUGGUAAUUGGUGUGUGUACAUAACUAUUUGCUGACGGGCCACAGAAAACAAAGAAGAUAGGCAUUUGUCUGUGGGGGGAGGGGUGUGGAAAGGCUGAGAAGAGUUGGGCAUUUAAACUUGUUUCUUGGUUGUAACUCAUUUAUCCUGCAGGUUUCCUUGCUAAAGGUGGAGGGAAGGUGGUAGAGAGAAUGUAUUAACUAAUGGAAUAAAAUGGGACAGUAAUACAGGCAUGAAAUCCCACUGGAAAGAGCAAUAAGAACCUACUCUCCUCGCUCAAAUAAUCGGAAAGCAAAGCACAUGCUGAGAAAAUUACAAUAUACAAAAGUUAAGCGGGAUCCCUGGGUGGCGCAGCGGUUUGGUGCCUGCCUUUGGCCCAGGGCACGAUCCUGGAGACCUGGGAUCGAAUCCCACGUCGGGCUCCCAGUGCAUGGAGCCUGCUUCUCCCUCUGCCUCUGUCUCUGCCUCUCUCUCUCUCUGUGUGACUAUCAUAAAUAAAUAAAAAUUUAAAAAAAAAAUUUAAAAAAAAAAAAAAAAAAACAAAAGUUAAGCCACAGAUUAUUAAUUUUCUUGUUAAAAUCUAAUAUCUAUGGGUUAAAAUAUUGUUCUUUUCCUUCCAAUUUUCCCAUGAAAGUUUGAAAUACAACCUAUUAAAAGCCAACAGACUUAAUGGCAUUUACAAGUACGUAAAACAGGUUUUGCUGAUUUUUUUUAAAUAAUCUUACAGAUAAAUUAAGGAUAUCAGAGAGUUUGAUUUUAUGUAUAUAUAACUGAUUAGAGGUGGAAUAUUCAAACAAAUUCAUUUUGAAAACAAUACAAUUCAAGUAACUUGCCACAGAGUGGCCUUAUCAGAGUGACUAUGCAAUGUAAUAUGAAGUUGCAAGCUUUGGAUUUUGAAUUGAGCCAUGGAUAUACAAAUAUAAAUAUGCAAAUAAAUUACUGUUUUCAAAAAUCAAACUAGGGUGGAUAUAAAGUUAAGAAAGCAGAGUCUGUGGUGUAAAGGGAAGUCAAAGUAUUUAAAGCACUUGUAACCGGAAAAGCCUGUAUGAACCAGAAGAUAUCUAGAUUCACUAUAGUAAAUAGUUAACAUUUCUCUAAAAUAUGACUUCAGUAGUUAAUAUUUUGUCUUUGGAGGCAUAUACUGUUACCACUCUUUAUAAAAUGGAAAGACAAAGAGAUUUAGGCAAAGUAUACUGAGUCUAGCACUAGAAGACUCAAUGUGGAAAAUAUCUCCCCCUUUUUAUAUAUAUUCCAAAUUCUUGGAUCCCUUGUAUAAAUAAGUUUGGAUUUUUAUUGUAUAUUUAAUUAGGGAAUUGUACAGAGUAUCUUCUCUUUCAUAUGACUUUCAGUAGAACCUGUUUCAUAAUAAGACAAUUCUA
rnacentral:lncRNA from 1 species